rnacentral:rRNA from 1 species
UACGUAGGGCGCGAGCGUUGUCCGGAAUUAUUGGGCGUAAAGAGCUCGUAGGCGGCCUGUCGCGUCGGUUGUGAAAGCCCGGGGCUCAACCCCGGGUCUGCAGUCGAUACGGGCAGGCUAGAGUUCGGUAGGGGAGAUCGGAAUUCCUGGUGUAGCGGUGAAAUGCGCAGAGAUCGGGAGGAACACCCGUAGCGAAGGCGGCACUCUGGGCCGGUACUGACGCUGAGGAGCGAAAGCGUGGGGAGCAAACAGG